GUGUCUCUUCCGUUCUAACAACUCCUCCUUCACCUUGGUACAAGGCCUGCAGCCAUAUUAGUGGCGCAGUAUCUUUUUACUAUCUGCACCAAACCAUGCCAAGGUGAAGGUCUCAGAAAUGCAAUAGAAAUUGUUCACACAAUUUCUGUCCUCCGACAAAUGC